rnacentral:rRNA from 1 species
CUGUCACUUAUAGAUGGAUCCGCGCUGCAUUAGCUAGUUGGUAAGGUAACGGCUUACCAAGGCAACGAUGCAUAGCCGACCUGAGAGGGUGAUCGGCCACACUGGAACUGAGACACGGUCCAGACUCCUACGGGAGGCAGCAGUAGGGAAUCUUCCGCAAUGGGCGAAAGCCUGACGGAGCAACGCCGCGUGAGUGAUGAAGGUCUUCGGAUCGUAAAACUCUGUUAUUAGGGAAGAACAUAUGUGUAAGUAACUGUGCACAUCUUGACGGUACCUAAUCAGAAAGCCACGGCUAACUACGUGCCAGCAGCCGCGGUAAUACGUAGGUGGCAAGCGUUAUCCGGAAUUAGUGGGCGUAAAGCGCGCGUAGGCGGUUUUUUAAGGCUGAUGUGAAAGCCCACGGCUCAACCGUGGAGGGUCAUUGGAAACUGGAAAACUUGAGUGCAGAAGAGGAAAGUGGAAUUCCAUGUGUAGCGGUGAAAU